CGCUAGCUGGACUUCCACACUUGAGUCUCUAACACUCUGUAAUCCAGACAGGGUUCAACCCUCCACCUUGCAUGCCUGUGUUAGAGGACUUAAACACACAAUCCAGGAAUUCCUUAUACUAAUUUACACAUUUUAAUUGGUUGCAUAUAUUAACAUGUACUAUAAGAUUCUUUUCUAAGAAGCAUUACAUAAUAAAUGGAUACUG
rnacentral:lncRNA from 1 species